rnacentral:rRNA from 1 species
CCUACGGGUGACUGCAGUGGGGAAUAUUGCACAAUGGGGGGAACCCUGAUGCAGCAAUGCCGCGUGGGUGAAGAAGGACUACGGUGCGUAAAGCCCUGUCAGCAGGGAAGAAAAUGACAGUACCUGGACAAGAAGCCCCGGCUAACUACGGGCCAGCAGCCGCGGUAAUACGUAGGGGGCAAGCGUUAGCCGGAUUUACUGGGUGAAAAGGGAGCGCAGGCGGCGUGGCAAGUAAGAUGGGAAACCCCGGGGCCCAACCCCGGGAGUGCCUUUGAAACUGCCAUGCUGGAGUGCCGGAGAGGUAAGCGGCUUUCCUCGUGUAGCGGUGACCUGCGUAUCUCUUAGGAG